rnacentral:rRNA from 1 species
UGGGAACGUGCCCUUCAGUUCGGAACAACCCAGGGAAACUUGGGCUAAUACCGGACACGUCCGUAAGGAGAAAGAUUUAUCGCCAAAGGAUCGGCCCGCGUCUGAUUAGCUAGUUGGUGAGGUAACGGCUCACCAAGGCGACGACGGGUAGCCGGCCUGAGAGGGUGACCGGCAACACUGGGACUGAGACACGGCCCAGACUCCUACGGGAGGCAG